rnacentral:lncRNA from 1 species
CUAAUUAGUUUUGAGGGGUUCAGUAUCGAGUCAAAAUAGGGCCAUAUAUAUCUGCAAAAUAAAACAAUGUUUUGCAAACAAAAAAUAUGUUUUGCAAAUAAAAAAAAUAUGUUUUGCAAAUAAAAAUAGAGUAUUGAGAAAAAAAUUGCUUUUUUGCAAGUAAAAAAAAAUAAUUGCAAAAGAAAAGUUUACCACAAGAGAAAAAAUUAAGUUUAGCAAAGUAAAACUUCAACAGCAAUGACUUUGCAACACAUUUCCCUUUGCGCUGCUCCUUUAAAUCCGCGUUUCAGUCAUCCGUGCCUCUGCGGUGCAAGCUUUCCUUUGCGCUUCAUUUUUUCUUUGCGCCUCGCUUUGUGUCCCUGAUUUGACGUGGGGGAGGGGUCAAGAGGUUGAGGUGUGUACAAGGGAUGAAGGCGCGUCCUUCUCGUUACGUCAUCAGCGCGAGCCCCAGACCGAGUGGAUCGAUCGAAAUGGAGGAGCAGAGACAUGUAUUUAUGUUUUUUCAGGUGGAGGAAGAAGAAACUGAUCACUCUGCAUGGUAUGAUCAAAUUAUUAACUGUGGUUUUAUUGGGGCCGUUAAACCUGAGAACAAAGAGGCCAUAAUAAGAUCAAUUGUGCUUCAUGCAACUCUACGUUUGGUCCCUUUGUUGAAGCAAAUCUGA